rnacentral:rRNA from 1 species
UACGUAGGCAGCAAGCGUCGUUCGGAGUUACUGGGCGUAAAGGGUGUGUAGGCGGUUCUUUUAGGUUGGUGUGAAAUCUCCCGGCUCAACUGGGAGGGUGCGCCGAAUACUGAGGGACUAGAGUACGGGAGAGGAAAGUGGAAUUCCUGGUGUAGCGGUGAAAUGCGUAGAUAUCAGGAGGAACACCGGUGGUGUAGACGGCUUUCUGGACCGACACUGACGCUGAGACACGAAAGCGUGGGUAGCAAACAGG